AUGCUGCGUUAUUUGUAUCAAGGUUAAUACGCUUGGCGUGUUUUAUGAUACAAAUUCUAUCAAAACUAACAAAGCUUAUAAAAAUUUAUGGUGUUGCUUGUCCGUGGGUUCAUCUACAACAAAAAUGUAACGGACUGCUCGCAGCCUUUUU
rnacentral:telomerase_RNA from 1 species